AUUGAACGCUGGCGGCAGGCCUAACACAUGCAAGUCGAGCGGAUGAAGGGAGCUUGCUCCUGGAUUCAGCGGCGGACGGGUGAGUAAUGCCUAGGAAUCUGCCUGGUAGUGGGGGAUAACGUCCGGAAACGAGCGCUAAUACCGCAUACGUCCUGAGGGAGAAAGUGGGGGGUCUUCGGACCUUACGCUAUCAGAUGAGCCUAGGUCGGAUUAGCUAGUUGGUGGGGUAAGGGCCUACCAAGGCGACGAUCCGUAACUGGUCUGAGAGGAUGAUCAGUCACACUGGAACUGAGACACGGUCCAGACUCCUACGGGAGGCAGCAGUGGGGAAUAUUGGACAAUGGGCGAAAGCCUGAUCCAGCCAUGCCGCGUGUGUGAAGAAGGUCUUCGGAUUGUAAAGCACUUUAAGUUGGGAGGAAGGGCAGUAAGUUAAUACCUUGCUGUUUUGACGUUACCAACAGAAGAAGCACCGGCUAACUUCGUG
rnacentral:rRNA from 1 species